GGCCUGAUAGCACAACUGGAUAGUGUAUCUGCUACAUGUUCCCGAUCUUGCAACAAAUUUAACAGAAGAUCCUCGUUCGAUUUGGGGUUAGGCUA